rnacentral:tRNA from 1 species
UGGAGGAUUUCCCGAGCGGCCAAAGGGGGCAGACUGUAAAUCUGUUGUCACCGACUUCGGUGGUUCGAAUCCACCAUCCUCCACCAA